ACAGAAUGAAAAGAAAAAGCAACUAAGCACGAAAUCUUGGAGAAUGUCCUCAUUGAAGGGUCCUGAGCACCAAGGGUACAGUCAGAAAUGAUGAAUCCAGAAAUGAUGCCCUCCAGAACUUCUGGUGAGGAAGGCACUCAGGAAAAUGCAGCACCCUAUGGAGGCCCAGAAAGGAGGGCAUUCAGGAAGAACACAGUCUGAUGGUGUCAAGUGCAGCGGAGGCUAAGAGCCUCAGUGCCUCCUUCAGAGAUGCGGUGGAUAU
rnacentral:lncRNA from 1 species